rnacentral:rRNA from 1 species
AACGACUCUCGGCAACGGAUAUCUCGGCUCACGCAUCGAUGAAGAACGUGGCAAAAUGCGAUACUUGGUGUGAAUUGCAGAAUCCCGUGAACCAUCGAGUUUUUGAACGCAAGUUGCGCCCGAAGCCUUUUGGCCGAGGGCACGUCUGCCUGGGCGUCAC